CUCUGUUGAUCCGUACAACCCAGCAAGCUAAUCAGAAGACAAACUGGUAUCUAAUGAAAUUUAAAUAUUUUUAUACAUUUAUAUGUCAAGAUUUCCUUCCAUUUUUUACCAAUAAUCAUAGUGCUAUUUUAUCAAUAAGCAUAGUACUAAGUAUAUAUUGCUCUGACUUGCACAAAUCUUUAGUGACCAUGCACGUUGUUAAUUUACCUACUUCAUAUUGCCAAAUGAUCUUCCUGGUUUUGUAAAAGUCCAUUCAUCCAUUCAACAAAGAUAUAACUAAAUAGUACAAUGACCAAGAAAGAAAGAAUGAAGAAGAUAAAUGUUAUAAAGAGAAAUAAAGUAGGCAAAGGAGACAGAGAGAACAUGGUGGGUCUGAGUUUUGUCUUUACUAAGAGAAUGGCAUUUGAGCAAAGAGUAGAGAGCAUUAAGGAGCCAGCCCUGGGGCUUCAUGGGGAAGAGCAUCUCAGAAAGCACAAAGGCCAUAAGAGGCAGUAAGCUGCCCUGUUGGAGCCAGAUGGUCAAUGUGACUUCAACUGGACUGACCAGGGGUUAGAGUCUCUGAUUCUCAUUAGAGGAAUAGAGAAUGGGGAUAGGGUGAUUGUAUAGAGUAUGUGAGGUCAUCGUGAUAAAUGUUUAAGCCAAGAUGCAUCACAAACACCAUAACUGGUAUGUUAAGAAGAAACUAUAGGAAGCCAAGGGUGGAAGUCAGGGUGCCAGUGAGGAGGCUGCUGCAAUAACCCAAUCAAGAAAUAGUGAGUGCCACCACCAGGCUGGAGAGAAGAAUCCAGAUUCCACGUGCAUUUUUCAGAGGGUAACAAUAGGAUUUGCUGACAGUUUAUUUCAGGAUAAGAGAGAGAGAGAGCAAGGCAAUGAUGAUGAUGUCAGGGCUUUUGGGCCUAAGCAACCAAAAGGAAAGAGUUGCCAUUAAGGUGGGUGGGAAUGUGAAGAGCAAGACUGGGGAGAAGAAUGGAGUUCCAUUGGGGGAUGAGUCAUCUACCAUGAGAAAUGCACAAGCUGAGGUACAAGUCCGUGCUGCAGGCAAUAGGUCCAGCCUGGAGAUACGCAUUUGGGCCUUGUCUGGGUGUGGAUGUAUGUGACAAUGAGAUUAAAUAAGAUCACCAAGGGUGGGGGUGGUGUAAGAGGCUAGGGAAGAGAAAAAUCCCAGGUCCUGAGCCUUGGGUACUCCAACAGGGAGGAGAUAUGGGUUGAAAAGGGACCAACAAAGGAUGGAAGAAGCAGAAGUGGCCCCUGAUGCAGAAGAGCCCCAGAGUGUGCUGUUCUAGAAGUCAAAUGGAGAAAGAAGAAAGCAGCAGGGACCAACUCCACCAACUGCUAUAGAUAGGUCACAAAAGAUGAGCAGUGGAAAUUGACCAUUGGCUUUAGUAGCACAAAAUCUAUUAAUGAACUCGAUGAGAACAGUUUGGGCAGAAAGGAGGCAGGCAGAAUUAUGACUGUCAUGACCUUAUGAGAGAAUGAAAGAAGAUAAAUUGUAGAUAUCAAUACAUACAGCUUUUUCUACAUGUUUUUCUUUAAAGAGGACCAGAUACAUGGAGUGACAGCAAGAGGUAGAAAGAAGAGGAAGAAGUCAGAGGAGAUAUUUUUUAAGAAUGGAUAAAUCGCUGUUAUGCUGCUGUUCUAUAUGCUGAUGAGAAUGAUCUGGGGGAAAGUGAUGGCAGGAAAGAGGGAAGACUUGCUGGAGCAGCGUCUGGAGGCACUAUAAGGAAUAGGGUCUACUGCUUGAGCAGAGGGGUUGACCUGCUACGGGAGAAGGGUUUGUCACAGAAGGGAAGGCAGAAUAGACAGGUGCAGGUGAAGGCAGAUGAGAGGUCUGGUGGUGCAUGCAUGGUGGUGAAUGCAUGGGUGGAAAUUCCCUUUGAUGAUUUGUCUUCUCAGUGAAGAGAAAGCAAAUUGAUCAGCUGAUUCUGAGAAUGGAAAAGACUCUAGAUUAUUAAGGAGAAUGGAGAAGCUAUUUUAUAGCAAACUAAAAAUUGAAGACUAAAUCAUAGGGAGUACAGAAAUGUGGACAGGCACCCUAAAGGAUCCAUCUAAGGCAGAAAAUGGGGGUGAACACCAGAAGGUUUACUCUGCCCUGGCAUUUAUGUUGAGCGUCUUUCAUGCCCUCACUAUCAUCCUGAAAGACAGAUACUAUCCCCAAAUAAUACCAAGAUGAAAUAAUAUCCUAGAUGAGAAAAAAAAGAAAAAACAAGACUAAAAGAUUCUCUUGGCCAACCUCAAGAAUUCAAGUUCAAAAGUGACUUGAAAAUGCUUUCUCCUACACAACCAAUAAGACAAAAAAAAUGCAGUUACCACCUCUGCCCUUUUGGAAAUUACUAAAGGAAUAUGAAACUUAUAUAUCAUAGGGUCAGAAUAAAUACCAUAAGCAAUGUACAGAAAAGCCAUAGUGGUAAUAGAAGAAGAAAAGUUACUAAUAGAGAGUUGUAGAAAAAGGGAAGAGGAGAGCAGGAUACUUCAUACCAGAGAGAUCUCCAAAUCCAAACCAUGAGAGACCAGAGUAAACCCAUUGAAUAAACAUUUGUUGAAUGAAUGAAUGAGAAUGAUAUGAUUACUUCCAUUUCUCCCUCAUUGGGUUAUUCACAUUUAUCAACAUAAAUACAAUUAUUAUCUGUUCCAGAUCCUGUUUUCUGAAGAAGCAUGUCUUAUGGAAUGAUGUCUUCUAAUAGGCGUUAAAGGUUAUAAUUGAAUGAAAACAUUAACGCUCUCAUUAUUUGAACAUCAAGUUGCACCGCUGCCACCUAAACACGAACGACCUAUUUCCAUGUGGUUUAUGACUUGGAAUCCCAUGGAACAUUCAUUGGAAAGACAUCACCUUAAGAUCAGCAAGUCUCUUUGUGUGGUCUCAACGUCAGUCAAGUGAUUUCAUAAGCUAAUAACUUCCUGUAUGUACUUAUUCCCAAGCAAAUCAAAGAAAAUUUGCUUGAUAUUAAAGACAGGAACUGAGGUUCACUGCCAUGAGCAGUGCAAGGCUUUGCCAAAGACUCCCUGUGAUCUGCCUAAAGCCAGGCUGUGGCAAUGAAAAAGGACAUGGCUUUAGAAGUGUCACCUUCUUACCAAAGCACUGAAAAGAGCUGUCCUCGCCUCUAGACCGAUCCUCUUUUGUAGCCAGCGUACUUACUGUUGCCAUAUGCUUUGGGUUUAAUGUGGCUUUAAUUAUUUAAGCCACAUACAGAGUACGCUCUGUGAUUAUGAUGGGCCUGCCUUUGGGGAAAGACUGGCUUUAUUUUAAUAGUAGCUUCCUUCUCUGAUGUGGUUAAAUAUUUCACUUUUAGCCCCAUUUGUUUUAAGUUUCUCUGACAAACUGUAUAUCCUUUGCCUUUUCCAUAAUCACUGAUUUCAAUUUGCACAAGUUUUUUUUUUUUUUAUUAUAGGAGUCAAGUUUUAAUUCUAAUGAUUUGGUAUAUAUUUCAAGCUUUGGAUAUUUUCUGAACAUUUUUAAUAUGUACAUUAGUCAUUCAAAUAAACUGUAUUUG
rnacentral:lncRNA from 1 species